rnacentral:piRNA from 1 species
UACAAAGACCAGGAGAGGUUCUGAGCAC